rnacentral:rRNA from 1 species
GAAUGCCACCAUAUCACUCUAAGCAUGCUUAAUCCUUUCUGAUUCCAGAAGCUAAGCAGGGUUCAGUCUGGUUAGUCCUUGAAUGGAAGGCCACCAGGGAACAUUAGGAAUUUCU